rnacentral:tRNA from 1 species
GGGCUCGUGGUCUAGACGGUUAUGACGUCGCCUUCACACGGCGGAGGUCCCGAAUUCGAAUUUCGGCGGGCCCAC